rnacentral:rRNA from 1 species
GAUGAACGCUGGCGGCGUGCUUAACACAUGCAAGUCGAACGAAGCAUUUAGGACAGAUUACUUCGGUUUGAAGUUCUUUAUGACUGAGUGGCGGACGGGUGAGUAACGCGUGGGUAACCUGCCUUGUACUGGGGGAUAGCAGCUGGAAACGGCUGGUAAUACCGCAUAAGCGCACAAUGUUGCAUGACAUGGUGUGAAAAACUCCGGUGGUAUAAGAUGGACCCGCGUCUGAUUAGCUAGUUGGUGAGAUAACAGCCCACCAAGGCGACGAUCAGUAGCCGACCUGAGAGGGUGACCGGCCACAUUGGGACUGAGACACGGCCCAGACUCCUACGGGAGGCAGCAGUGGGGAAUAUUGCACAAUGGAGGAAACUCUGAUGCAGCGACGCCGCGUGAGUGAAGAAGUAAUUCGUUAUGUAAAGCUCUAUCAGCAGGGAAGAUAGUGACGGUACCUGACUAAGAAGCCCCGGCUAACUACGUG